ensembl:snRNA U6 U6 spliceosomal RNA
GUGCUUGCUUCAGCAGCACAUAUGCAAAAUUGGAAUGAUACAGAGAAGAUUAGCAUUGCUCCUGUGCAAGGGUGACACGCAAAUUCGUGAAGCAUUCCAUGUUUUU